AGGACAUCCUGGUAUGGGUGGGCCAAUGCAGAGAAUGAACCCUCCUCCACGGGGGAUGGGCCCAAUGGGACAGCAGUCUGAUCCUUGGUUAUCGUUGCAGAACUAUGGCGGUUCAAUGAGACCUCCACCCAAUUCAAUAGGUCCCGGCAUGGCGGGAAUGAACAUGGGUCCCGGGGCCGGACGGCCAUGGCCUAAUCCUUCUAAUGCCAACUCAGUGAGUAAUACUGCUUUUACAUGCUGUUACACAUGUGUCACAGUAUAGUAAUAAGGCGUUUUUCCCAACAGAUCCAUCCCUGUGUUUGCAUUUCACACAGUAUUGUGUCCUCUACCUUUAAUAUAACAUUCUAUUCCUUUAUUUAUCAUACUUAUAAAUACUAUUUGUCUUAGCCGCUCCGUAUGGAAGAGCAUAAGAAAAUAGGACUUGCCUGCUCAGGCCUCAGCUCCUCAUCUGUGGUGGCUCCCCAUCAUCCUGAUCUUACAAAAAUGUAUUAACUCUUUACCAAUGCCCUGUGACCUGGCCUCCGCAACCUGCGGGGUAGAAAGUUCGAGAGAUUCACUGCCCUCUGAGAAAUUGCAACACUCUCAUGGUAAUGAAGCACUCGUGAGUCCCUCUUGGAUUUUGCAAUGCUUUGAUGCCUUCAAGUGGGAAUAACUUCAAGUCUACACUUCUGCUGACAUCAAGAUCUCCAUUAGAUCAUCUUGGAAACGUUUGGAUUCUAUUUGGUAUCAUCUCAUACGGCACAACUCUUUUGCAUCCAUUUUCUUUGUUACAAAUAUCUAACAGCCAAUGUAAUAAAGAACCAUAUAAAAUUGAUAACAUAGGAGGCCAUUUGGCCCAUCAUGUUAGUGACGGCAGAAAUAGUAAUCCCACCUUCCACCACUAGGCCCGCAGCGUGUAAAUUUAUUGGUUUCCACGUACACAUCCAAAUACAGUUUAAAUGCAGUUAGGGUUUCUGCCACAACCAUCCUUUCAGAAUUCCAGAGCACUAUCACGCUCUGGGAGAAAAAUGACCACCUUGCAACACCUCCAAUAAUUCACCAAUUUCUUUAAAUCCUUGUCUCAGGUUUAGGAUGUUCCACAGAAGGGAAAUAUGUUCUUCCUAUUUACACUGAACUGCAUAAAAUCUCUCCCCCUAAGUUUCUGUUUCAAAGAAAGCAAUGUUAGCUUAUUCAAUCUUACCUCAUGUCUGCAGUUUCUCAAUGUCUUUAAGUCUUUUCUGCACCCACUCUGGCACAAUUGCUUCUUUCCAGUAACGAGGUGACCAGAGCUGUACAGAAUAUUUGUGCUCUGUCUGCAAAGCUAAAAUUGCCAAAGAAAAAAAAAGAUGGGAAUGUUUUGGUGGUUAAUAUAAAGGCAACCUGUAGGAUCUUUUAUUGGAACAUAAAAAAUAAAACAUUAACAAGGGCGUGGGUGGGCCUUUUGCAGACCCGCAAGAGAAUUUAUAAUGCAAUUAAGAUUAGUUACUUUUCGUCCAUUAAGGAUGACCCACAAAAUCUGCCAGAUUUACUCGGUCAAGAGUGUACUGUAAGUGGGGAAGUGAAGGGACUCUGUUAGACAAAAAAAAAGUCAGUCCAUCAGUUACGUAAGGGUUCCGUGCCAGGGAAGUGUCCAUAAGCCAAUUCUCCAAGUCAGAAACACACAUUUUCUAUAGUAACGCACAUCUUAUCAGUUUGUGUAAACUUGCUGUAAUUUAAUUGAGUAGCCACCUUAAUAAUACCCAUAAUUAAUCUAAAGAAACAUGUAUUGUUUCCAGACACCAGAGAAUAUUGCUAGCAUUAAAAAUGAUUUACAAAUGUAUGGAGAAUUUGUAGAAAAUCAGAUUACUGAAAAACAGGUUAAUUGUUACCCAGAGAGCCCCUGUACUGGUGCAGUUGGCAAACUUGAAAAUUGAUCAUUCAUAAGGAUUGAAUGGUUUACAGUUUUGAAUGAGAUGGUUUUGGAGAUGGUGGUUGUGGACGCAAGCCAAACCAUUAUGCAAAGCAACGUAAUGCUUUGGCUCCAUUUCCACUUCACACUGCAUCAGCAGGCCACCAUCAUAAUCAAGGAGCAGUCUCGCCCCAGUCACUCCUUCCUCUCCCCUCUCCCAUCAGGCAAGAGAUACCGAAGUUGGAAAACACAUACCUCCAGAUUCAGGGAGAGUUUUUUCCCAGCUGUUAAAAAGCACUGGAAUAGUGCUCUCGUGCUAUUCCAGGUCUUGGGCCUGAUGAUGGCAGCAUAGUAAUACUGUUCUAAAUUGGGAUACUCUGGCUUAGAGGGGGACACAAUUUAGAGCACAGAAGUCUC